UGAAACCGUUCAGGGGUAAACCUGAGAAACCCAAAAGAUCGAAUGGGGAGAUUCAUCGUCAACGGCGCUGGCUCCCGUUGGUGCGCGAUGUUCCGGAUGGGCCCUCGUGGUUCCGUUAGCGAGGACACGUCACCUUCGGCCUGAAUGUUCCGGUGCCGUAGUCGUGCACUUCUCCUCUAGUAGAACGUCGCGACCCGUUGUGUGUCGGUCUACGGCCCGAGAGGGCGCCUGUCGCGUCGCUUCGCGCGCACGCGGCAGACCCUCGGUCGCCCGGCCGGCUGCACGACGGUACUCGCACGGUAUCGGGCCGCAACCAAUCCAUUCUCGAAUGUGUUUGCGUCUGUCCCGCCGCAAGCUCGGUCAGUUUUACCCGGAGGUACGGAGUCUGUGGCCGUCCCCGGGCCUGGCCAGCUGUUCGCUGUGCGGAGUCCUCAGACUGGCCAAGCCUCGAAUUACCGGUCGGCGACGCUAUUGCUUUGGGUACUCUCAGGACCCGUCUUGAAACACGGACCAAGGAGUCUAACAUGUGCGCGAGUCAAUGGGAUUGAUUAAACCUAAAGGCGAAAUGAAAGUGAAAAUCGACCUUCGCGUCGAUCGAGGGAGGAUGGGCCGCGUUGCUAUGCGGCCUCGCACUCCCGGGGCGUCUCGUUCUCAUUGCGAGAAGAGGCGCACCCAGAGCGUACACGUUGGGACCCGAAAGAUGGUGAACUAUGCCUGGUCAGGACGAAGUCAGGGGAAACCCUGAUGGAGGUCCGUAGCGAUUCUGACGUGCAAAUCGAUCGUCGGAACUGGGUAUAGGGGCGAAAGACUAAUCGAACCAUCUAGUAGCUGGUUCCCUCCGAAGUUUCCCUCAGGAUAGCUGGCACUCGGUCGUUCAUAUUUGAACAGACGCGAGUCUCAUCUGGUAAAGCGAAUGAUUAGAGGCCUUGGGGCCGAAACGACCUCAACCUAUUCUCAAACUUUAAAUGGGUGAGAUCUCUGGCUUGCUUGGAUCAUGAAGCCACGAGAUUUUGGAUCAGAGUGCCAAGUGGGCCAAUUUUGGUAAGCAGAACUGGCGCUGUGGGAUGAACCAAACGCAGAGUUAAGGCGCCUAAGUCGACGCUUAUGGGAUACCAUGAAAGGCGUUGGUUGCUUAAGACAGCAGGACGGUGGCCAUGGAAGUCGGAAUCCGCUAA
rnacentral:rRNA from 1 species